GUAGUACUCCCUCCGUCCGGAAAUACUUGUCAUCAAAAUGAAUAAAAGGAGAUGUAUCUAGAUAUAUUUUAGUUCUAGAUACAUUCCUUUUUGUCCAUUUUGAUGACAAGUAUUUUCGGACGGAGGGAGUAUCAU
rnacentral:pre_miRNA from 1 species